GAUGAAGAACGCAGCGAAAUGCGAUAAGUAAUGUGAAUUGCAGAAUUCAGUGAAUCAUCGAAUCUUUGAACGCAUCUUGCGCUCCUUGGUAUUCUGAGGAGCAUGCCUGUUUGAGUGUCAUUAAAUUCUCGACUACACUGACUUUGAAUUGGUGUGGCUUGGAUUUGGGGGGAAAAUUGUUGUGGGCUUUUUGUAUAGUCUGCUCCCCUGAAAUUGAUUAGCGGUACCUUUGUGGAACUGUCUACAGGUGUGAUAAUUAUCUACAUCUUAGACAUCUGCUGGAAUGCUGCUUUCUAAACCUUACUUGUAUUGACAAUCUUGACCUCAAAUCAGGUAGGACUACCCGCUGAACUUAAGCAUAUCAAUAAGCGGAGGA
rnacentral:misc_RNA from 1 species